AAACGGAAACAACACGGGAAGUCUUAUUUAAUGAAAGGUUUCAGUUUGCCGUGAAGCAUUCAUCCAGGUAUACGGAGAGCCGGAAAAGCAAGCACUUGUUCAGAGUGAGCGGUCUGUCUACUAGAAGAUGGUUGCUGACUGCAAUACCACCUGUCAAGACCUGCAGUUGUCUCUGGGGGCCCCUACUGAACCAUCAAGCAAAGACAUCAGGAUGUAUUACAGCUUUGUUUUUGCUCAACAAUGCACUAUCCUUCGUACCCUAUGCAGCCAGGUCCCACCUACUUUUUAACUCCUUGCAAGUGUGGCUUGUUUGGUGUCUGCUGUGAAGGAAUACCACAACAAGUCAACUACUUGAUUGAUGAAGGCAUGUCAUCC
ensembl:lncRNA